GGUAAACAGCCAGCAGGAAGGUGUAGGAACCAGGAGGAGCUGCAAACACACACACAUACACGACAGGGACGAGAGAACGAGACAAAGACGAGGGACACGAAGAGAGAAGAUAGCCCAGCGCGAGACGAUUCGGAGACCCCAACAGAUUUAAAGUUACUGGUGUUACAAUGCUAUGUUGAUUUUAAAAAAUAACGUCAUAAAUACAUAAGUAUUCGAUUCUCAUUAAGUUCUCACUGGCUCCGCUUUAGGAUUCACCACCAUGGACCCACCUGGCCGUCACGUGUCACAAGCUGGACUACACGCAUCUCUGUCUGGACGCUGGUUCUCUGUUAUCAGGUUGCUCCUUUUUCAUCGUAAGACUUCACCUGCCUGCCUCCCUGCCAGGUCCGUUGCUCCCAGUAUAUUCUGGACCCUCUCUGGACACUCCUCACCCGGACCCCCCUGGACACCCCCUCCUCGCAUGACACUUUCACCUGCAACGCUGACUCCGUGUACCUCCACCCAGGCCGCUGCCCCUUUUUCCCUCCCCAGGACCCGUCUAUGAAAUCUUGCAUCUGGUCAUAGCACUCAGUCUGAGUUUCAUGUUCAUAGUUUGGCCUCAUAGUUCUCAGUUCAUAGCUUUCACAGUUUCCUACUUUGUAAUUUAACUAGGCACUGUAAAUAAAGCACUGUGUUCACGCC